GGGCGCAUGCCUGAGCGGUUAAAGGGUAUGAUUAGAAAUCAUAUGGUGUCCCACCUCCAAGGUUCGAGUCCUUGUGCGCCAA
rfam:Sphaeroforma arctica JP610 cont1.7899, whole genome shotgun sequence.